rnacentral:rRNA from 1 species
GACGUAGGGCGCGAGCGUUGUCCGGAUUUAUUGGGCGUAAAGAGCUCGUAGGCGGCUUGUCGCGUCGUCCGUGAAAACCUGCGGCUCAACUGCAGGCUGGCGGUCGAUACGGGCAGGCUGGAGUUCGGUAGGGGAGACUGGAAUUCCUGGUGUAGCGGUGAAAUGCGCAGAUAUUAGGAGGAACACCAGUGGCGAAGGCGACUGUCUGGGCCGAUAUUGACGCUAAGACGCGAAAGCGUGGGGAGCAAACAGGG